rnacentral:rRNA from 1 species
GUGCCAGCCGCCGCGGUAAUACAGAGGGUGCAAGCGUUAAUCGGAUUUACUGGGCGUAAAGGGUGUGUAGGUGGUUUGACAAGUCGGUUGUGAAAUCCCCGGGCUCAACCUGGGAACUGCUUCCGAGACUGUUUGACUAGAGUACGGUAGAGGGCGGUGGAAUUUCCGGUGUAGCGGUGAAAUGCGUAGAUAUCGGAAGGAACACCAAUGGCGAAGGCAGCCGCCUGGGCCUGUACUGACACUGAAACACGAAAGCGUGGGGAUCAAACAGGAUUAGAAACCCGCGUAGUCC